rnacentral:lncRNA from 1 species
AUCAUUAUAGAGCUUCUAAUAAUAUCGUAAAUCAUAUGUAUGUUUUAUUAAGUCUUUUACUGACCUUCACGCGAAACCGUUACAACAUAUAUCCACUUAAAGUAGAAGGGAUCCUCGACUACCACUAAGAAUCACUGACCCAUUCUGGAGUUCUUAUUAUUUCCCCAUCUAGAAUCUAAUCAUGGCCAUCCAUUACCCAUGGGGAUGCUACAUUCACUUA